UUCUCUGGACGGGGCCGCCUUUUGGACGGCCUGGGCCAAUCCGGGGCGCCAGGGGCGCAUCUGGUGGCGGAGCAGCGCAUGCGUUUGCGAGCAGCGGGCCGGGGGCGGUGGCGUGAGUAGGAGCCGCGCUUUGGCUCCGCGGGGGUCGGAGGGGCGGCGGCGGCAGCCGCGGCGGCGGCCCCGGCGCGAGGGCUCCCUGGCCGGGCCCACUUCCCCCGCCCCCGGGGCGCUCCGAUGAGGAAGAGCAGCCCAGCGCGCGUCCGUCCUGAGCGUGGGCCUGUAGCUAAUUACAGACUCAAACCCAAGAGCAGAAGGUGAAGACGCGCAGCUUGCAGCAGCCCCCUCCUUGGCCUGCGCACCUCACCUUGAGGGCGUCCCGAUUUAAAUGCGUGCCUCCUGCGUCUCUGCUUCUGCAGCAGGCUGGAGUGGCGACCAGGAACGCUGGAGCCACAGGGAUCUGUGGCGAUGGCAUGGGGAUCUGGUCGAACCGUGGUGUUCUUUGGGGCAUCUGACUAUUGUUUGAUAACCGGAAAGAAAUAAAAAGUUGGUGAUCACAAGGUUAAUGUCA